rnacentral:rRNA from 1 species
UACGGAGGGUGCAAGCGUUAUCCGGAUUCACUGGGUUUAAAGGGUGCGUAGGUGGGCAGGUAAGUCAGUGGUGAAAUCUCCGGGCUUAACCCGGAAACUGCCAUUGAUACUAUCUGUCUUGAAUACCGUGGAGGUGAGCGGAAUAUGUCAUGUAGCGGUGAAAUGCUUAGAUAUGACAUAGAACACCACUUGCGAAGGCAGCUCACUACACGAAUAUUGACACUGAGGCACGAAAGCGUGGGGAUCAAACAGG